GUACAACGAGAAACAUAAAUACAGAAGAUACACAAAAGAAAUUUAACAUCCACUUUUGCAACAUGACAAAGACAUCAAGAAUGACCUAAGGAUCCGGGCUGAAAUGCCUUCCAGCUCCUGUCACCAUCACUCUGGAAUCCCAGCCUCCACCCGCCGUUGCCCUGCCGGAACGAGAAGUGAGGAAGAGCAAAAGCGGCCCCACUUCUUACACCUCCUGCCUCGCAGUGCCGUA